GUCUUUUUGAAUUAUUUAAAAAGUCUAACCUGCCCAAUGAAUUUUUAAAUGGCCGCAGUAUUUUAACUGUGCAAAGGUAGCAUAAUCAUUAGUCUUUUAAUUGAAGGCUGGUAUGAACGGUUGGACGAAGUAUGGGCUGUUUCAUGUAAAUUUAUGAUAGAAUUUUAUAUUUUAGUUAAAAAGCUAAAAUUUAAUUAAAAGACGAGAAGACCCUAUAAAUCUUUAUGUUUUAUAUUAUUUAAAUUGUUUUGAUUUAUUUUAUUUUUAUUGUGUAAAAUAUUUUGUUGGGGUGAUAUUAAAAUUUGAUAAACUUUUAAUUGUUUUAAAUCAUUAAUUUAUGAAUUAUUGAUCCAUUAGUAGUGAUUAUGAGAUUAAGUUACUUUAGGGAUAACAGCGUAAUUUUUUUGGAGAGUUCAUAUCGAUAAAAAGGGUUGCGACCUCGAUGUUGGAUUAAGGUAUAUUUUAGGUGUAGCUGCUUAAAUAUUAAGUCUGUUCGACUUUUAAAUCCUU
rnacentral:rRNA from 1 species